CCAACUGUUGCUGGUGGUCCAAACCGAGAACGAUUGGCACAGCGGUGUGAACGGGGUUCCGUUUGGGUUGCCUUGGUUGGUGUUGAUUGCGCUCUACUUUCCACCGGAAAACCUGCAAGCAAGCCUCGCACCACCACUGGGGUAGUGGGGGCCCUCCGACGAUCAAGUCAGAGGAGAUUGGGGGAGAAGGAAAGAUAAUAGUAGCAAGUAGGAGAAUGCUCUGGAAGUUCUUGCUUACCCUCCCCCUUCUCCCCCCAGCCGCAUAUAUACCAGGCUGGGGGGCCCUUUUGGGGGGUUGGUCAUCGUGUAGCACGAUGGAGCUGCCACUGACAUGGCCGUUACAGGACGUCGUGGGGCAGCGCUGGGUACGGCCAUGACAGGGCGUAAUGGAGCUCCGCUUUGUACGGCUGUUACAGGGGAUCGUGGAGCAGCGCCGGAUACGACCGUUGCAGGGAGUAGUGGAGCAGAGGGCCGCGGCGUGCCUCUGGGAAAUAGCCUGUCGUUGUCGAGAGAUGUCCGACUCGGGGUCGGGCUGCGGAGACGAAGAUGUCCGACUCGGGGUCGGAUUGCUGGAUCAAGGGGCAGCCGACUCGGGGUCAGGCUGCGGAGCUGAAGAUGUCCGACUCGGGGUCGGAUUGCUGGAUCAAGGGGCUGCCGUAGUCUCCCUGGGCGCGCGUGCCGG
rnacentral:lncRNA from 1 species